rnacentral:tRNA from 1 species
AUUUUUAUAGUAUAAUAAGUAUAAAUGACUUCCAAUCAUUAGGUCUAAUUUUUAGUAAAAAUA